CAGUCGCCGCGGUAAUACGUAGGUGGCAAGCGUUGUCCGGAAUUAUUGGGCGUAAAGGGCUCGCAGGCGGUUUCUUAAGUCUGAUGUGAAAGCCCCCGGCUCAACCGGGGAGGGUCAUUGGAAACUGGGAAACUUGAGUGCAGAAGAGGAGAGUGGAAUUCCACGUGUAGCGGUGAAAUGCGUAGAGAUGUGGAGGAACACCAGCGGCGAAGGCGACUCUCUGGUCUGUAACUGACGCUGAGGAGCGAAAGCGUGGGGAGCGAACAGGAUUAGAUACCCGCGUAGUCCCUGUCUCUUAUAA
rnacentral:rRNA from 1 species